rnacentral:rRNA from 1 species
AUUGAACGCUGGCGGCAUGCUUUACACAUGCAAGUCGGACGGCAGCACAGAGAAGCUUGCUUCUUGGGUGGCGAGUGGCGAACGGGUGAGUAAUAUAUCGGAACGUACCGAGUAAUGGGGGAUAACUAAUCGAAAGAUUAGCUAAUACCGCAUAUUCUCUGAGGAGGAAAGCAGGGGACCUUCGGGCCUUGCGUUAUUCGAGCGGCCGAUAUCUGAUUAGCUAGUUGGUGGGGUAAAGGCCUACCAAGGCGACGAUCAGUAGCGGGUCUGAGAGGAUGAUCCGCCACACUGGGACUGAGACACGGCCCAGACUCCUACGGGAGGCAGCAGUGGGGAAUUUUGGACAAUGGGCGCAAGCCUGAUCCAGCCAUGCCGCGUGUCUGAAGAAGGCCUUCGGGUUGUAAAGGACUUUUGUCAGGGAAGAAAAGGCUGUUGCUAAUAUCGACAGCUGAUGACGGUACCUGAAGAAUAAGCACCGGCUAACUACGUGCCAGCAGCCGCGGUAAUACGUAGGGUGCGAGCGUUAAUCGGAAUUACUGGGCGUAAAGCGAGCGCAGACGGUUACUUAAGCAGGAUGUGAAAUCCCCGGGCUUAACCUGGGAACUGCGUUCUGAACUGGGUGACUAGAGUGUGUCAGAGGGAGGUAGAAUUCCACGUGUAGCAGUGAAAUGCGUAGAGAUGUGGAGGAAUACCGAUGACGAAGGCAGCCUCCUGGGAUAACACUGACGUUCAUGCUCGAAAGCGUGGGUAGCAAACAGG